GCCUCCUGUUUAUAUAUAUGAGGUCCAGCCUGCCCAGUGACUCACAGUUCAACGGCCGCGGUAUCCUAACCGUGCGAAGGUAGCGUAAUCACUUGUUUUCUAAAUAAAGACUAGUAUGAAAGGCACCACGAGGGUUAAACUGUCUCCCCCUUCUAAUCAGUGAACCUAACCUCCCCGUGAAAAGGCGGGAAUUUUACUAUAAGACGAGAAGACCCUAUGGAGCUUUAAACACCAAUACACCUGCCAACACACUCUAGCCCAAGGGCUCUUAAUAUCCGCACGUGUUAAUGUGUUUUUGGUUGGGGUGACCACGGAGAAAAACUUAUCCUCCCUAAUGAAAAAUUACCUUAAACAACAAGUCACAACUUUAUGUAUCAACAAAUUGACAUCCAUUGACCCAAUAUAUUGAUUAAUGAACCAAGUUACCCUAGGGAUAACAGCGCAAUCCACUUCGAGAGCCCCUAUCGACAAGUGGGCUUACGACCUCGAUGUUGGAUCAGGGUACCCAAGUGGUGCAGCCGCUACUAAAGGUUCGUUUGUUCUAACGAUUAAAACCCUA
rnacentral:rRNA from 1 species